rnacentral:rRNA from 1 species
UACGUGAAACCGUUCAGGGGUAAACGGGAGAAAUCCUGAAUUCGAAAGGGACCGGAUUCAAGGCCUUCCGAGUGUAAGCAGGACGUCCCCGCCAGAUGGCGCUGGUCGCCCGCGGUGAUUCAUUUCGCUUGCGGUGUCGUUCCCGGCGAUCACUCGGCGUGGUGGCGUUGCCCUGGCACCGGAGGUGUGCACUUCCACCCUAGUAGAAACGUCGCGACCCGUUGGGUGCCGGUCAAAGGCCUGGGAUGGCAGCCCGUGUGUCCUGUGGGGGAACACAGGCACGUGGACUCCCGGUGACCCGGCCGGCUGCCCGACGGUAUGACCAGAGGAGUCGAUCCGCUGAUGGAAAACACUGUGGUUGUGUAGCGUCCGGCCCGGCGCCGAUGCGUGUGGGGAUUGAGGUGUAAACCGGGGGUGCCCGUGCGAAGCACGGUCCCGGCCCCACUGCGUGUUGGGUUUCGUCGGUGUCCUCGGACUGGAUCAGCACUCCCGUCUGCGACGAUCACCUUCGGAUGG